rnacentral:piRNA from 1 species
UGAGUCGUUGGCUCCGUUCCUUGGUCUCC